rnacentral:misc_RNA from 1 species
UCCGAUUUGUCACCGGCAGUCUCCUAUGAGUCCCCGUCUUUCACGCUGGCAACAUAGAACGAGGGUUGCGCUCGUUGCGGGACUUAACCCAACAUCUCACGACACGAGCUGACGACAACCAUGCACCACCUGUGCACGGCCCGUACGGACCCACCAUUUCUGGAGGAUUUCCGUACAUGUCAAGGGUAGGUAAGGUUUUUCGCGUUGCAUCGAAUUAAUCCACAUCAUCCACCGCUUGUGCGGGUCCCCGUCAAUUCCUUUGAGUUUUAAUCUUGCGACCGUACUCCCCAGGCGGUCGACUUCACGCGUUAGCUGCGGUACUAAGGAAGUCUCCUUCCCCAACACCUAGUCGACAUCGUUUAGGGCGUGGACUAC